rnacentral:rRNA from 1 species
CUACGGGCGGCAGCAGUGGGGAAUAUUGGACAAUGGGGGCAACCCUGAUCCAGCCAUGCCGCGUGUGUGAAGAAGGCCCUCGGGUUGUAAAGCACUUUCAGUGAGGAAGAACGCCUGGUGGUUAAUACCCAUCAGGAAAGACAUCACUCACAGAAGAAGCACCGGCUAACUCCGUGCCAGCAGCCGCGGUAAUACGGAGGGUGCGAGCGUUAAUCGGAAUUACUGGGCGUAAAGCGCGCGUAGGUGGCUUGAUAAGCCGGUUGUGAAAGCCCCGGGCUCAACCUGGGAACGGCAUCCGGAACUGUCAAGCUAGAGUGCAGGAGAGGAAGGUAGAAUUCCCGGUGUAGCGGUGAAAUGCGUAGAGAUCGGGAGGAAUACCAGUGGCGAAGGCGGCCUUCUGGACUGACACUGACACUGAGGUGCGAAAGCGUGGGUAGCAAACAGGAUUAGAUACCCGUGUAGUC